rnacentral:rRNA from 1 species
UACGUAGGGUGCAAGCGUUAAUCGGAAUUACUGGGCGUAAAGCGUGCGCAGGCGGUUGUGCAAGACCGAUGUGAAAUCCCCGGGCUUAACCUGGGAAUGGCAUUGGUGACUGCACGGCUAGAGUGUGUCAGAGGGGGGUAGAAUUCCACGUGUAGCAGUGAAAUGCGUAGAGAUGUGGAGGAAUACCGAUGGCGAAGGCAGCCCCCUGGGAUAACACUGACGCUCAUGCACGAAAGCGUGGGGAGCGAACAGG